AUAUUUUACGUCAUUCGGCAUCGUGCCGGUUCUGUCGCGAAACUUCGACUGAUCAUAACUUCUUCGUUAUAACUCGGAUUUCGGCGUUCUUUAUUGAUGGGUUUUAGCCAUAUGAACAUUCCUAUGUGCACAUACAAACCCUAAUGCUUAGAUCUUGGUUUCUCUAAUUGAACAUGCAUUGAAUCCAAGACUUCUAAUGACAAUUCUAGUAUAAUAACAUAAGAAAUCAGAUUAAGAUGAUUACCUUGAAUCACUUGCUUGAAUCUUCUUGUCCUUGGAGCUUUAGAGUCACAAGUGUCACUCCUCUAAUGGCUUACAAACACCAACUUAGCAAGAGGAUGAUUAGAGAGAGUGGAGAGGGAGCUAGAAAUCGGCCAGGGUUCUUCCAAACGCAAGAGUGCCGAUUUCAUCAACCCCUUGGGUCUAUUUAUACUUGUAAGGCUCCUAGGGUUUCACCCUUAAACCCUAAUUGGAUAACUUAGGCCCUAAGAAAUCCAAUACCCUAAUGAUAAGCCUUGGACGAUUUUAAGGUCUAUCCAAAGCCCUCAAAACCGUCCCCUUUUAUCCUUAAGGGAUUAUAGCCCAAAAUACAACUAUCAUUCAAUUGACAGUUUAUGCCCCUUUAUUCAAUUAAUCUCUUUAAGUCACCAAAUUAAUUCCUAAUUAAUUUAUGACUUAUAUUAAUCAAAUAAUAAUAUUAUUAUUCCUUAUAUUAUUCUCAUAAUAUAUUAAUAAUAUUUCUUCUCUCAUUAUAAAUCAUCCUGUCAAGUUGCUAUGGUGAAGGCAACCCAAAAGGACCAUGCACAACCGGAUCAAAUACUUGCCUAAUAUAGUUACAGCCUUAGACACUAUUCCAACAGUCUCCCACUUGGAUAAGUCUAGUAACUAUACAAGUACAAUUCGGUUUGCAAUCGUAGCUCUCAAAGACGCUGUCAACUCUGAUCUAAUCAAUCUUGUCCUUUAGAUAAGGGAACGUACAGUCCUCUGUUAGAUAUCAUGCUGACAAUCCUAUGGAAUGGUUAGUCAAGCAUUUAGGUUUCUCGAUCUCUGAUUUAUUUGACAUAGAACUUAAUCGAACACAUCAAUUCAGUUCUGACCGGGCCCGGCACAUAAGUCAAAUCAAAUCAUCGAGCGGCCGAGAUAUCGCUUUUACCUUCUUAGAUAAAAGUUACAGAUAAACUUCGACUUAUAUGCAUUUACUUAUUCAUUUACCAACUAUACACAACAAUACGUUUUAUAACACCAAGUUACUGAUGCGUUUUCGUAUUAUCAAUGUACAAUCAAUUAACAAAUAAUAAACCAUAUAUCUAGGUUUUAAGACUAUAUGAUAUUAUCGUCUUGCGAUCACCUUUUAUAUCGUAUUCCAUAAGGUGAUUCCAGCAAGCGCGGGUUUAUUCCAAUGCUCAAAACUAGUUCAUAAGCACUCAUGAACGUUGCAGCAAUCCUUUGCUAUGUCUAACACCAUUUAGACAUUCUACACACCAAUUCAUGACAAUCUUCAUUCAUAUCUACUCCCAACAUAUGAACGAUUGUGGACCAUUUGAACAAUUCGAUUAUUCCUAAUAAACUCAAUUAUUCUGGAAGUCAAAACAUGCAAAGUGAAACAAUAGCUAAACAAUUAACAUAAGAUAGUAACAUUACUCAUAAAUAAAACUCCUUUAUUUAAUCAUCAAAUGUUAAUUACAUUUAUCUAUUACACGUUUCUAAUACUAUCUAAUCUAUGCUAAUAUCAUCCUUCAGCCCAAUACUCCUAGCAUGCUGCAAGUGCUUAACCCUACUCAGUCCCUUCGUAAGCGGAUCUGCUGGGUUAUCUUCUGAUGAUAUCCUCUUCACUACGAGUUGUCCUUCUUCUACACGAUGUCUAAUGAAGUGAUACUUUCUGUCGAUAUGUCUUGAUCUACCAUGAUCCCUCGGUUCCUUGGUUAAGGCAACCGCGCCUUCGUUAUCACAGAAAAUCUCCAUUGGCUCCUUUAUGGCAGGUACAACUCCAAGAUCACCGAUGAAGUUCUUUAGCCAUAUUGCCUCCUUCGACGCUUCGCUCGCUGCAAUGUACUCUGAUUCGCACGUUGAAUCAGCUACGGUUUCCUGCUUGGAACUCUUCCAUGUCACUGCUCCUCCAUUUAGGGUAAAGACCCAGCCCGACUGCGAACGGUAGUUGUCCCUGUCGGUCUGAAAACUGGCGUCACUAUACCCUCGCACCUUCAAGUCAUCACUCCCUCCGAGGACUAAGAACCAUUCCUUCGUCCUCCGAAGGUACUUAAGGAUAUUCUUCACCGCAAUCCAAUGUGCUUUGCCAGGAUUCCCUUGAUAUCUGCUAACCAUGCUCAAAGCGAAGGCUACAUCAGGGCGAGUACAAGUCAUAGCGUACAUGAUUGAGCCAACUGCGGAAGCGUAUGGUACUCGGCUCAUUUCUGCUAUCUCAGCUUCGGUACUCGGACUUUGAGUCUUACUCAAUUUGGCAUUACUUUGUAUCGGUAGUUCUCCCUUCUUUGAGUUUUCCAUACUAAAACGUUUUAGUACCUUCUCUAAGUAAGUAUUCUGACUAAGUCCAAUUAGUCUCUUACUUCUUUCUCUUACUAUCCUUAUUCCCAAAAUGUAAGAAGCCUCUCCGAGGUCCUUCAUAGCGAAGCACUUCCCGAGCCAGGACUUAACCUCCUGCAGAGUCGGGAUGUCGUUUCCUAUGAGUAAUAUGUCAUCGACAUAUAGAACGAGGAAGCUUACUAUACUCCCACUGGCUUUGACAUAUACACAAGAUUCGUCUUCGCUUCGUACAAAUCCAAACUCUUUGACUUUCUCAUCGAAGCAAAGAUUCCAUCUGCGAGACGCUUGCUUAAGUCCAUAAAUGGACUUCUCAAGCUUACACACUCUAUCCGGAUGCUUCGGAUCCACAAACCCCUCUGGCUGAGCCAUGUAAACAUCCUCAGCCAACUUUCCGUUAAGGAAAGCGGUCUUGACAUCCAUUUGCCAAAUCUCAUAAUCAUGAAAUGCGGCAAUUGCUAGCAUCACUCUAAUAGAUUUAAUCUUCGCAACUGGUGAGAAGGUCUCAUCAUAGUCAACUCCGGGAGUUUGAGUAAAGCCCUUCGCAACCAAUCGCGCUUUAUAUGUGUGUACGUUUCCAUCCACGUCGGUCUUCUUCUUGAAGAUCCAUUUGCACCCAACGGUCUUACGUCCGGGCACAUAAUCAACCAAAUUCCAAACUUGGUUAUCAUACAUGGAUUGGAUCUCGCUAUCCAUUGCCUCUUUCCAUUUUGCAGACUCCGGGCCUGCCAUGGCUUCCUUAUAGCUAUUAGGUUCAUCAAGAUUUACUAGUGUACCAUCACUAAUAUACGUGUCCCCUUCGGUAGUAAUAUGAAAACCAUAAAACUGGGGUAGAACUCUAACUCUAUCGGAACGUCUAAGAGGUAAGGAUUCGUCAAUCGGUUCAACCGGAGUUUCCUCCUCGGGUUGAGUGCCAGCGGUAGAGGUUCCUUCAUCUAUCGACUCUUGAAUCUCUUCAAGUUCGAUUUGCCUCCCACUGUCUCCUUGGCUUAUGAGUUCUCGCUCUCGGAAAACUCCUCUCCUCGCAACGAAGACAACAUUGUCCUUCGGUCUAUAGAAGAGAUAUCCAAAGGAUGUCUGCGGGUAGCCGAUGAAAAUACAUCGCUCACUUCGAGGUUCAAGCUUGUCGUGAGUAUCUCGUCUUACGAAAGCCUCGCAACCCCAAACCUUGAUAUGUGCCAACGAGGGAGCUUUCCCUGUCCACAUCUCGUGAGGUGUUUUGGCAACCUUCUUAGUAGGGACUCGGUUAAGGAUAUGGGCGGCAGUCUCUAAGGCAUACCCCCAAAAAGAGAUAGGUAGUGAAGCACGACUCAUCAUAGAGCGAACCAUAUCCAAUAAGGUUCGAUUACGCCUUUCUGCCACACCAUUCAACUGCGGUGUCCUAGGAGGCGUCAAUUGUGAAACUAUUCCACACUCCUUGAGAUAAUCGUGGAAUUCAAGACUUAGGUACUCUCCUCCUCGAUCGGAUCGAAGCAUCUUGAUUUUCCUGCCCAAUUGAUUCUCCACUUCAUUCUUGAACUCUUUGAACUUUUCAAAGGUGUCUGACUUUUGCUUGAUUAAGUAGAUAUACCCAUAUCUACUAUAGUCAUCGGUAAAAGUCACAUAGAAGCGGUUCCCAUCCUUCGUGGUUGAUCUAAACGGUCCACAUACAUCGGUAUGUAUUAGGUCCAAUAGACCCUCGCCCCUUUCACAUGUACUCGUGAAGGGUGACUUAGUCAUCUUUCCAAGUAAACAAGACUCGCAUGUGUCAUCUUCCCUAAGGUCGAAUGACUCCAACACUCCAUCCUUUUGGAGUUGGGCUAUGCGUUUCUUGUUGACAUGUCCAAGACGACAAUGCCACAAGGAUGCUUUAUCCAUACUAGUGGAAGAAUCUAUGUUCAAAACAUCAUUUCCUAAGUUAUCAACAAUCAUAACAGUUUCAUAAAUUCCAUUACAUGGUAUAGCUUCAAAAUAAAAGACACCAUUUAGAUAAGCCAAAAUAGAACCAUUCUCAUUAUUAAAAGAAAAUCUAAAACCUUGUCUAAACAAACCAUGAAAUGAAAUGAUGUUUCUAGCCAUUUCUGGCGAAUAGCAACAAUUGUUCAAAUCUAAACAUAAACUAUUCCUAAGCACUAAAGAAUACACUCCAAUCUUGGUCACAGGCGACGAUCUUCUGUUCCCCAUGAUUAGAUUGAUCCUUCCUUGCUCCACAUCCCUACUUCUUCUUAGUCCCUGCACAUUAGAACAAAUGUGGUAACCACAACCGGUAUCAAGAACCCAAGAAAUAGCAUGAUUAGAAUCGUUAGAUUUAAUUGUGUAUAUACCUGCGAAAGAUGGCUUGAUCUUUCCUUCCUUGAUGGCUUGCAGGUACUCUGGGCAGCUUCUCUUCCAAUGUCCUAUCUUGUGGCAGUGGUGGCACUCUGCCUCCUUUGGGUUAGGGCAGGGCUUAGCAGGAUCAACUUUGGUCCCACUAGAAGAGGCACCAUCUCGGGCUUUAACCUUGCGAUAGUUCUUAGACGAAGCCUUCCUCUUCUUUCCCUUUCCUUGACCAAUAGCCAAGACAGGAGCAGCGGGUGGAUUGGGAGUUGGUGCAACAGACUUGUCUUUGAAGUUGCUCUCAGCGACCCUCAAGAGACCUUGGAGUUUGCUUAGGGUGACCUCCUCUUUGUUCAUGUGGUAGGUCAUCCUAAAUUGAUUGUACAUCGGAGGCAAAGAGUGAAGCACCAUGUCGAUCGCCAAGUCUUCCCCAAAGUCAACAUUUAACUUGCGAAGGCGGUCGACAUACCUUUGCAUCUUUUGCAGGUGCACGGUAAGAGACUCUCCAUGACCCAUCUUAGCGGAAAUCAUGUUAGUGAAAAUCUCAUAACGCUCUUGUCUCGCGUUUUGGUGGUAUCUCUCCAAUAAGUCUUGAUGCAUCUCGUACGGGUACAUGUCCUCAUAGGACUUUUGGAAUUCGGAGUUCAUGGUGGCUAUCAUGAUGCAAUGUACCUUCGUUGCAUCGCGCUCAUGAGUUUCAAAAGCGGUCAUUUCAGCCGGAGUAGCGAUUUCAGGGUUGAUUUUCUCGAGCUUCUCAUCGAGGACAUACUCCUUAUCCUCAUAGCGAGCAAUGGUGCGAAUGUAUCUUAUCCAUUCGCUAAAGUUCGUCCCAUCGAAAGUGACCUUUUGACAAAGGCUCAUCAAUGUGAAAGAACUAGCAGCAGCGUUGUUUGCGUUCGACAUCUACAAAUAGAAAGGACAAAGAUAGAUUAGAAUAUGAAUCCCUAAUUAUCACCCAAUAAGAAAAAUUAGGGCUAGGAUCCAACAACAAUAUUUACAUAUUAGAAAAGGGAUGCCGUAAUCUAACAUGCAAACAAUUUGAAGGUAAGUGAAUGACGAUUCACUAAUUCUCCACCAUAAAAACAUAACUUUAAGUCCUAAAUGUAUUGAGAAUUCCUAGGUUCGGAUGAGAUUCAUUGGAACUAUUCAAUGGCAUGUUUAAAUCUCGAUAUGCCCCUCUUGUUUGUGACUGGGAUACCGAGGAUCACAAAGCGGGUGUGAAUUACCAUGCAAAUUCACAUGGUGCCUUCAUUGUAACGAUCACCUAUUCGAUGUGCCGGUAAACCACACACGCUCCAUCGAACUAUGAUAAACAAUGAAUCACCCUUUGCCACCUUUGCUUAGAACCAAUUAGUGUGCCGGUAAACCACACACGCUCCACUAACUUCUUAGCAAGGGUGCAAAGUGUAAUUUCAUGGGAUUGCAUCAAUUCACUUUUCCUAAAGUAACUAGGAUUGGGAAUUUUGAAAAACAUGUAGUUACUUUGUAUUUCAUAUUAUACUUUUAAUGAGGAGAUGAGGUUGCCCUAUCCUACCCGUUCGGCUAACGACCCUCCACCGAUCAAGCAAGCGGUGGGUGUGAGUGUACACCCAUUAAGCGCCAUUUUAUAGGCCGCAACCUUAUACCCACCUUAUAGACCGGCUUCGUGAAUGAGGCCUACUAACGGUAAGACUAGCAUUUUUAAUUAUACAUAUAUAUACAUAUUAAUCUUGUAAUAUUAUAUUAGUAUAGGGUUGAAUUUUAAACUUGUAAAAUUCUAGGGUUUGAAAUUUAAAUUGUCUAAAUUAAACUUUUAAUCACAAAACAUAAAUUUCAAAACUUGAGGGCAAGUUUUAAACUUUUCAAAACAUAGGGGAUCAAAUAACAAAUAAUCUAAAUUAACAUUUAAUCACAUAAUUAUCCAUAUUUGAUUUAUUUAAUUAUUUCUUGCAAAACAAUUUACCAAUUUAAUUAAAAUAAUUAAUCAAUUAUCAUAUAAGGAAAUUAAUAUUUAAUUAAUUGAUAAAUAUCUUCAAUUAGGUCAAGAAUAUACUCAAAUAUAUCAUAAAAUCGGAUUUAUAUUGACCUAUUAAGAUUAUGGUAAGUAUCCAAAAGAUAAACAGCAAGAAAUCCCGAAAUUAGCUCUUUCUGACGCUCGAACUCGCCGAGUACCACAAUGGACUCGCCGAGUUGAGCCUACUCGCCGAGUCCACUAUGGGACUCGCCGAGUUCAUCAAGCAGAAUCACAAAAUUCGAAUUUUGCAAGCAACAAACAAGCAACCAAUGCAUCAAUUCAAUAGAAACCAAUCUAGGCUCUGAUACCACUGAUGGGUUUUAGCCAUAUGAACAUUCCUAUGUGCACAUACAAACCCUAAUGCUUGGAUCUAGGUUUCUCUAAUUGAACAUGCAUUGAAUCCAAGACUUCUAAUGAUAAUUCUAGUAUAAUAACAUAAGAAAUCAGAUUUAGAUGAUUACCUUGAAUCACUUGCUUGAAUCUUCUUGUCCUUGGAGCUUUAGAGUCACAAGUGUCACUCCUCUAAUGGCUUACAAACACCAACUUAGCAAGAGGAUGAUUAGAGAGAGAGGGGAGGGAGCUAGAAAUCGGCCAGGGUUCUUCCAAAGGCAAGAGUGCCGAUUUCAUCAACCCCUUGGGUCUAUUUAUACUUGUAAGGCUCCUAGGGUUUCACCCUUAAACCCUAAUUGGAUAACUUAGGCCCUAAGCAAUCCAAUACCCUAAUGAUAAGCCUUGGACGAUUUUAAGGUCUAUCCAAAGCCCUCAAAACCGUCCCCCUUUAUCCUUAAGGGAUUAUAGCCCAAAAUACAACUAUCAUUCAAUUGACAGUUUAUGCCCCUUUAUUCAAUUAAUCUCUUUAAGUCACCAAAUU
rnacentral:lncRNA from 1 species